AUUACGAUCUUCCGGUGAAUAUGACGGUCCUUUGGCUACCGCUAAACACCGCUUCCCCUUCCAAAUAAACACCCCCGGAGGCAUUUUAGUCAACCACUUGGGGACUACUUCAAACUUUGCGGCUGCGUGUGAACCAGAGAGUCUCAUUGCAUGCGACGGCAGUCUGCCGGAGCCCGAUAUCCGCCGCUGAUUUCUUCUAUGGCGCAGCGCCGCCUUUCCGACCUCUCAUCCCAUCUGCAUCUGCCCGGCCCUGCCUCGGCCUCUCACAGCCCUCCCCCUCGGCCAUGCGGAUCCACUUGCUCGGCCACUUCCAGCUGCGAGGCCGAGGCGGAUGCCGAGGCGGAGCUGGGUGGGGAAAAGGGAUGCGUCUUUUGCCGGAUCGUCCGUGGGGAAUCCCCCGCAUUCAUGCUUUAUGAAGAUGAUGUAUGCAUGUGUAUUUUGGAUUCUAAUCCUUUGACUUUUGGGCACUCCCUUAUCAUUCCAAAAUCACAUACUCCUUCAUUGGAAGCAACACCACCUGCUGUGGUAGCUGCCAUGUGUUCAAAGAUACCAAUUCUUAGCAAUUGUAUAAGAAAAGCUACUCAAAGUGAUUCAUUUAAUUUAUUAGUCAACAAUGGAUCAGCAGCUGGACAAGUAAUAUUUCAUACUCACUUCCACAUAAUCCCUCGAAAAGCUGGAGACAAGCUAUGGCCAUCUGAGUUGGAAGAAAGAUCACUUCAUCCAUCCACUGACAGCUUGAUACCUGUUCAUCAAUCAAACAAAAGAGUCAUGUGAGAGAUGAACACUGGAGGUGGUCAUACGAUCAAUAUCCAGUAUCCAAAACUCAAUAGCAGAUGCUAGCUAGUUUCUAUUCAUGCCUUCUUCCACCACAUCCAUUCUCCCUUUGGCAGUUGAAGAACACUGCAGUCACUGGAUUGCCGAGGUUGUAGACUGCUGUGAAAUCUCUGGUGUUGAAGUUUUGCCUCCAUCCCGGCGCAUCGAUAGUCUGCCGGAUGGAUUGCCGAAAUAGCACGAGGACAAACCGAUGGAUUCCCGCGAUUGGCCGGGGACUCUCAUAGGCUACAAUCUCAUUUCCUGCAACUAAUGAAUAUCAAUCUUAAGAUCAGAGUUCAAUCCUUUGGCAAAAGGUGGUGUUACCAAUGGAGGUACUCCCUCUUGGUUGGAUUGCUGGGGCUUGGUGAAUCAGGAUCCACCAUCACCUGAACACAACAUCAUCAUCAAGGUCAGUAAACUCAAUGCAACCUGACCUAAUUGAGUGGAGAAACACACUCACAAGAGUGUAAUAAGCCCUAGAGUCAUGUCCCUUGAUCUCAACCCUCGGUUGGUUAGCCACCACCGAUGGCUUGAGCUCCGACCCACUUGUCAGCUCUUUGCCGUUGUAGAGCACUCUGAGCGAAGCAGACUGAACAAACGGGUCCAAUACAUCACCGACAAUGUUGCCAACUACAAGUGGAUCUCUCGACAUGAUCGAUGGUGAAUCGAGAGACUGAACUUGUGGUGGGAAUGACAAUGAGAGAUGGAACUGUUAUAUAUAGAGUGGCUAAUGUUGGUCUAGGAAUAUGAGAUUAGUAUAAUGUGGGGAGAACAAUGUGGAGUGAGGUAAUGGGAAUUGAAUUUUGUUAGGGUUAGUGGUCUUGUGAAUAAAAUCUUUAGAUUUGGCUCCCUUUAAAACAGUGGUGCUAGGAAGGAGGCCAAAUGUGGUUGGCUUUUGACCUUUGUUCUUCGAGUGCUCCAUGCCUAGAAUAAGGGGAGUUGUGAUCUCUAUACGAGGAAACGAGGAUAUAAACAAGUUGAGUUA